rnacentral:misc_RNA from 1 species
UAAAGUGCCAUAUCUUCUCUCUCUUUUAUAUAUAUAUAUAGUCCAGCAAAAUUUAUUAUAGUAAAAACCGAUGAAAUAAAAUAAUUUAAUCCCGCUUGUUGAUUUUAAAACUAAAACGUGAACGAGUAGCUAAAAUUUUUCACUGAAAAAAAAAAUCUUUCAAAAAAUUUGUUUUUUUCUCAGUGACCAAACGACAACAGAACUGAAUCGAAUAAGACAAAAGAACAAUCGCACGCGUCAAUCAAUAAGCGAAGCAUGAUCAAAAUCUCAAUAAUAUUUACAAACUCAACAUGCCCAGAAGAUAAAAUACCAAGUAAUUUUGAAAUUCAAACCUUUGAAACGAUUUUUAUCAA